UUUUAUUUCAUCUAUGAAACA
rnacentral:piRNA from 1 species